AGAGUUUGAUCCUGGCUCAGAAUGAACGCUGGCGGCGUGCUUAACACAUGCAAGUCGAACGAGAAAGGGAUUGCUUGCAAUCCUGAGUAGAGUGGCGCACGGGUGAGUAACGCGUGGAUAAUCUACCUUCGAAUUUGGGAUAACAUUGCGAAAGCGGUGCUAAUACCGGAUGAAAUUACGUACUCUUCGGAGUAUGUUGUGAAAGAUGGCCUCUGCUUGCAAGCUAUCGUUUGAAGAUGAGUCCGCGUACCAUUAGCUAGUUGGUAGGGUAAAAGCUUACCAAGGCUACGAUGGUUAGCUGGUCUGAGAGGAUGAUCAGCCACACUGGAACUGGAACACGGUCCAGACUCCUACGGGAGGCAGCAGUGAGGAAUUUUGCGCAAUGGGGGCAACCCUGACGCAGCAACGCCGCGUGAGUGAUGAAGGCUUUUGGGUCGUAAAGCUCUGUCAAUGGGAAAGAAAUUAUAUGCGUUUAAUAGAUGUGUAUAUUGACGGUACCCAUGAAGGAAGCACCGGCUAACUCCGUGCCAGCAGCCGCGGUAACACGGGGGGUGCAAGCGUUAUUCGGAAUUAUUGGGCGUAAAGGGCGCGCAGGCGGUAUUACAGGUCAGAUGUGAAAGCCCGGGGCUCAACCCCGGAAGAGCAUUUGAAACCGUAGUACUUGAGUAUGGUAGAGGAAAGUGGAAUUCCUGGUGUAGAGGUGAAAUUCGUAGAUAUCAGGAGGAACACCGGUGGCGAAGGCGACUUUCUGGACCAAUACUGACGCUGAGGCGCGAAGGCGUGGGGAGCAAACAGGAUUAGAUACCCUGGUAGUCCACGCAGUAAACGUUGAUCACUAGGUGUAGCGGGUAUUGACCCCUGCUGUGCCGCAGCUUACGCAUUAAGUGAUCCGCCUGGGGAGUACGAUCGCAAGAUUAAAACUCAAAGGAAUUGACGGGGGCCCGCACAAGCGGUGGAGCAUGUGGUUUAAUUCGACGCAACGCGAAGAACCUUACCUGGGUUUGACAUCCUGAGAAAGAUCUGGAAACAGAUAAGUGCCCUUCGGGGAGCUCAGUGACAGGUGCUGCAUGGCUGUCGUCAGCUCGUGUCGUGAGAUGUUGGGUUAAGUCCCGCAACGAGCGCAACCCUUAUCUUUAGUUACCAUCAUUAAGUUGGGGACUCUAGAGAUACUGCCCCGGUUAACGGGGAGGAAGGUGGGGAUGACGUCAAGUCCUCAUGGCCCUUAUAUCCAGGGCUACACACGUGCUACAAUGGUAUGUACAAAGAGAAGCGACCUCGCGAGGGCAAGCCAAUCUCAAAAAGCAUAUCUCAGUUCGGAUUGGAGUCUGCAACUCGACUCCAUGAAGUUGGAAUCGCUAGUAAUCGUGGAUCAGCAUGCCACGGUGAAUACGUUCCCGGGCCUUGUACACACCGCCCGUCACACCAUGAGAGUUGACUGUACCAGAAGUCGUUGGGGUAACCCUUCGGGGAGC
rnacentral:rRNA from 1 species